UUAUGUAGAAAGUACACACACACCCGAUCUCGCCUGAUCUUGGAAGCUAAGCAGUGUCGGGCCUGGUUAGUACUUGGAUGGGAGACCUUUGGGAAUACUGGGUGCUGCAGGCU
rnacentral:rRNA from 1 species